GCCCGGCUAGCUCAAUGGCAGAGCGUUGAGCUUCUAUGUGAUGUCUCAACUCAAAGGUUGUGGGUUCGAGUCCCACGUUGGGCU